GUCAGGCAGCCACAUUCCUUUCUGUAUGAGGAUAAUAUUUUAUAGUCAGCCAGAUCAGAGUUCUUCUCCUCUUUUUGGUCUUCUCUUUUCCUUCUUGGUUAGAGACUGUGUUAGAGACUACUCCUAAUUAGAAACGUGUAUGUUUCAGUAGAAACCAUGCCAGAUGUGUGGUGCAGUUCAGUGGAAUGUUAGAGAGCAACUGGUGGUGGCACUUUCAAUUGGGAUUGUAAACGUGACAGAUGGGGGCCGAGGCAACAAGAGCCUGGAAGCAUGAGCCAGUGAUUCUCAGCUCCAAGAAAUGCAGAUGUCCCUUAGUGGGGCAUUUCUUGGUGUGAGGAGACAUUCGCAAACACUCAAGGCACUGUGGGACUUGUGUUACAGCAACUUUCAGUAAAUACUUUUGUAAUUGCCCAUGGGAUGUCAGCAUUCAUGAGAUGAAGUUCCAACUCUAAAGAUGAAAGCCCUGUUUUUGAAUCAAGCACUUAAUGAGUAAGGAUUUCACAAGCUGCAAAAUCUGCCCUUGAGAAUCCCCGACAACUGAAUAUUCCAUGGCUUCCACUGAUGAUCAUGCUGUCAGUUAAGUAUUUCGCUUUUUUUAAACAGCUGGGUAUAUUUUUUUCUCUAUGAAAUCCUGUGAAGAGAGUUUGAUGUAGCAAAUUUUUUUUUUAAAAAAGGCUUGUCAUAUACCAGGAGGUAUCAACAAUCACCAAGCUGUCGUGCAUUAACUACCUGUUUCACCUCCAUUGAGGGACAUGUAUCGUGUGAAUCAUUGGAUCUAUGAAACCUGGCUGUGAUAAAUACCAAGGAAUUCUAUGCCAGUUCACAGCAGUAAGAGUGCAGAAGUGCCAGUAUCUUUGCCGUGAGUGGAGCCUGUCUGCCCCAAUCUAGUCUGGG
rnacentral:lncRNA from 1 species